rnacentral:misc_RNA from 1 species
GUAGAAAAUUUGUUAUGGUUUGGGAUUGAUGAUCAAACUCACACACACACGCACAUAUUCAUGCAACAAUGGCUAGGUUUUGUAGAAAUGCUUGUAGGAUUUGGGAUUGAUUUUCAAUCUCACACAGAUGGAGAUAUAUAAUAUUUUUGAACUCACACACAGGGGCAUAGAUAUACAAUAUGAUAUGUGGAAUGAUAUUAUUGAGAUUAAUCACACACCCAUAUAUAUAAUA